CUCUUAUCCAGAGCGGUGGAGGGAAAGGCCCUAUGAAACCCGGCAACCAGUCAGUUCAUCUGACCAGGUGCUAAUUCCUUCAGGACGAUGUUCCUGGCAGAUGAGAG
rnacentral:ncRNA from 2 species